rnacentral:rRNA from 1 species
GACAGAGGGGGCAAGCGUUGCUCGGAAUUACUGGGCGUAAAGCGUGCGCAGGCGGUGAUGUAAGACAGAUGUGAAAUCCCCGGGCUCAACCUGGGAACUGCAUUUGUGACUGCAUCGCUGGAGUGCGGCAGAGGGGGAUGGAAUUCCGCGUGUAGCAGUGAAAUGCGUAGAUAUGCGGAGGAACACCGAUGGCGAAGGCAAUCCCCUGGGCCUGCACUGACGCUCAUGCACGAAAGCGUGGGGAGCAAACAGG